rnacentral:lncRNA from 1 species
UGGGGACAGGAGAACAGCACUACUCAUUCAGUGAGUGAAUGGGGACAGGAGAACAGCACUACUCAUUCAGUGAGUGAAUGGGGACAGGAGAACAGCACUACUCAUUCAGUGAGUGAAUGGGGACAGGAGAACAGCACUACUCAUUCAGUGAGUGAAUGGGGACAGGAGAACAGCACUACUCAUUCAGUGAGUGAAUGGGGACAGGAGAACAGCACUACUCAUUCAGUGAGUGAAUGGGGACAGGAGAACAGCACUACUCAUUCAGUGAGUGAAUGGGGACAGGAGAACAGCACUACUCAUUCAGUGAGUGAAUGGGGACAGGAGAACAGCACUACUCAUUCAGUGAGUGAAUGGGGACAGGAGAACAGCACUACUCAUUCAGUGAGUGAAUGGGGACAGGAGAACAGCACUACUCAUUCAGUGAGUGAAUGGGGACAGGGGAACAGCACUACUCAUUCAGUGAGUGAAUGGGGACAGGAGAACAGCACUACUCAUUCAGUGAGUGAAUGGGGACAGGAGAACAGCACUACACAUUCAGUGAGUGAAUGGGGACAGGAGAACAGCACUACUCAUUCAGUGAGUGAAUGGGGACAGGAGAACAGCACUACUCAUUCAGUGAGUGAAUGGGGACAGGAGAACAGCACUACUCAUUCAGUGAGUGAAUGGGGACAGGAGAACAGCACUACUCAUUCAGUGAGUGAAUGGGGACAGGAGAACAGCACUACUCAUUCAGUGAGUGAAUGGGGACAGGAGAACAGCACUACUCAUUCAGUGAGUGAAUGGGGACAGGAGAACAGCACUACUCAUUCAGUGAGUGAAUGGGGACAGGAGAACAGCACUACUCAUUCAGUGAGUGAAUGGGGACAGGAGAACAGCACUACUCAUUCAGUGAGUGAAUGGGGACAGGAGAACAGCACUACUCAUUCAGUGAGUGAAUGGGGACAGGAGAACAGCACUACUCAUUCAGUGAGUGAAUGGGGACAGGAGAACAGCACUACUCAUUCAGUGAGUGAAUGGGGACAGGAGAACAGCACUACUCAUUCAGUGAGUGAAUGGGGACAGGAGAACAGCACUACUCAUUCAGUGAGUGAAUGGGGACAGGAGAACAGCACUACUCAUUCAGUGAGUGAAUGGGGACAGGAGAACAGCACUACUCAUUCAGUGAGUGAAUGGGGACAGGGGAACAGCACUACUCAUUCAGUGAGUGAAUGGGGACAGGAGAACAGCACUACUCAUUCAGUGAGUGAAUGGGGACAGGAGAACAGCACUACUCAUUCAGUGAGUGAAUGGGGACAGGGGAACAGCACUACUCAUUCAGUGAGUGAAUGGGGACAGGAGAACAGCACUACUCAUUCAGUGAGUGAAUGGGGACAGGAGAACAGCACUACUCAUUCAGUGAGUGAAUGGGGACAGGAGAACAGCACUACUCAUUCAGUGAGUGAAUGGGGACAGGAGAACAGCACUACUCAUUCAGUGAGUGAAUGGGGACAGGAGAACAGCACUACUCAUUCAGUGAGUGAAUGGGGACAGGAGAACAGCACUACUCAUUCAGUGAGUGAAUGGGGACAGGGGAACAGCACUACUCAUUCAGUGAGUGAAUGGGGACAGGAGAACAGCACUACUCAUUCAGUGAGUGAAUGGGGACAGGAGAACAGCACUACUCAUUCAGUGAGUGAAUGGGGACAGGAGAACAGCACUACUCAUUCAGUGAGUGAAUGGGGACAGGAGAACAGCACUACUCAUUCAGUGAGUGAAUGGGGACAGGAGAACAGCACUACUCAUUCAGUGAGUGAAUGGGGACAGGAGAACAGCACUACUCAUUCAGUGAGUGAAUGGGGACAGGAGAACAGCACUACUCAUUCAGUGAGUGAAUGGGGACAGGAGAACAGCACUACUCAUUCAGUGAGUGAAUGGGGACAGGAGAACAGCACUACACAUUCAGUGAGUGAAUGGGGACAGGAGAACAGCACUACUCAUUCAGUGAGUGAAUGGGGACAGGAGAACAGCACUACUCAUUCAGUGAGUGAAUGGGGACAGGAGAACAGCACUACUCAUUCAGUGAGUGAAUGGGGACAGGAGAACAGCUUUGACUAUUGA